UGCCAGCAGCCGCGGUAAUACGGAGGGUGCAAGCGUUGUCCGGAUUUAUUGGGUUUAAAGGGUGCGCAGGCGGAGCGCUAAGUCAGUGGUGAAAUCCCGCAGCUCAACUGCGGAACUGCCAUUGAUACUGGCGCCCUUGAGUACAGACGAGGUAGGCGGAAUUUAUGGUGUAGCGGUGAAAUGCAUAGAUACCAUAAAGAACACCGAUAGCGAAGGCAGCUUACUAGACUGUAACUGACGCUCAUGCACGAAAGCGUGGGGAGCGAACAGGAUUAGAUA
rnacentral:rRNA from 1 species